rnacentral:lncRNA from 1 species
GGUAUCCCCCAACUCCCAACAGCGGACUCGGACAGAGGUCCGUCCGCUGUCAGCACAGCCCCUCCGGGUGGCCCAGGCGCCCGCGGGCAGGGAAGGGAGGGUCCCUUCGCCGCCGCCCCGGGGCGCUGGCCGGGUUGCGGAGGGUGGCCCCUGACCCCCUCUGACAGGAGGCCGGGGACAGCCAGGCUUUCGGGCCCGGCCGCGCUGAGGGGGGCGGCGCUACAGCCCACCUGUCUCAGCCGGCUGGGGGAUCUGCUCCAGCUCCACGGACCCGCGGACGGAUGGGAGGGUGGCAGAGGGGUCAGGAGAAGUCGCUGUCGCCGCCGCAGCCCAGGUGGCGCACACCGGCUCAGGCCUCCAUGUUUCCACGUCUCAGCGGGUACAGAUCCGGCUCCGGUCCGGCCUGCAGCUCGGCCCCGGCUCGGCUCCAGCCCGGGCCGCGUCGGUGCGGAGGCCAGGAGGCGGCGAGAGAAGAGGGAAGCGACCGAGAACGCGGCUAGGGACCAGACCCCCAGGCGCGCGCGCCAGCCAGGUGGUCACGUGGCACGCGGCGCGCGCGGGCUUCUGGAAACUGUAGUCCUUUGGGUGUUAUUCGUGCCUCCGCCCUCCUAGUACCUCCUGGGCUACCGCAAAGCCACGUGGCGAAAUCGAGAAGCGCAAAAACAGCCGUGCGCGGUGGCUCACGCCUGUAAUCCCAGCACUUUAGGAGGCCGAGGUGGACGGAUCACGAGGUCAGGAGAUCGAGACCAUCCUGGCCAGCAUGGUGAAACCCCGUCUCCACUAAAAAUACAAAAAGUAGCUGUUUGAGACAGGAUAAUCGUUUGAACCCGAGAGGCGGAGAUUGCAGUGAGUCAAAAAGUAGCUGUCUGAGGCAGGAGAAUCGUUUGAACCCGAGAGGCGGAGAUUGCAGUGAGUCGAGAUCGGGCCACUGCACUCCAGCCUUGCGACAGAGCUCGACUCUUCUCAAAAAAAAAAAAAGAGAGAGAGAGAGAAGCGCAAAAACCUCACCUGCCGGGUGCUAGAGUCAACCUCACCUGCCAGGUGCUAGAGUCCUCGCUCAUGCUACACCGCUCGUUCUGGCGGCUUAACCUUAUUAAGGCCUCUGUUAAUUGCAGCUGAAUAACCAUCCCAAAGUCAAGCAAUAUUGUGUGGGAUUCUGGAGAAUUGAGAAAUAGCAAAAUAAUUUUUGAUGGAGGCAGCUGGCAGGGCUAGCCCUGCCUGCAAAGUUGUCGGAAAGGACAGGUCCCACGGGAAAGAGUAGCAAUAUGAGAUAGUGCCAAAACUAUGGAAUUUGAAGUCAAAUGAGCUGAGGUUUCCACACUGACGUCUUUGAGCAAUUACUUCACCUCUCUCAGCCAGUUUCCUCACCUAAAAUAUAUGCAUGAUGAUGAUUCUGCCAUUACAGGAAAUGUUGACAUGACUGUAGUA